rnacentral:tRNA from 1 species
GGCGAGAUGGCCGAGCGGUCUAAGGCGCCAGACUAAGGACCAGGUCAUCCGAUGACCGAAAGUAUAUAUCUGGUCCGAAAGGGCGUGGGUUCGAAUCCCACUCUCGUCA